AACAAACGCUGGCGGCGUGCCUAAUACAUGCAAGUCGAACGAGGUAGCAAUACCUAGUGGCGCACGGGUGAGUAACGCGUGGAUAAUCUGCCCUUGAGUGGGGGAUAACUAGUCGAAAGAUUAGCUAAUACCGCAUAAGACCACAGGAACUGAGGUUCUAGGGGUUAAAGGUUUUUCGCUCAUAGAUGAGUCCGCGUGAGAUUAGCUAGUUGGUGAGGUAACGGCUCACCAAGGCGACGAUCUCUAACUGGUCUGAGAGGAUGAUCAGUCACACUGGAACUGAGACACGGUCCAGACUCCUACGGGAGGCAGCAGUAGGGAAUAUUGCACAAUGGAGGAAACUCUGAUGCAGCGACGCCGCGUGAGUGAUGAAGGCUUUCGGGUCGUAAAGCUCUGUCGCAGGGGAAUAACACAAUGAAUGUACCCUGUAAGAAAGGAUCGGCUAACUUCGUGCCAGCAGCCGCGGUAA
rnacentral:rRNA from 1 species